GUGUUACUUAGGCGGUAUGGAAAUGAGAUUUGCCUCUUGGAUUCAACCUACAAGACCUCAAAAUAUGAUAUCCCUCUGUUUUUUGUAUGUGUUUCCACUAAUGUAGGUUACUCCAUAGUUGGAACAUUUCUUAUUCCAAAUGAAAGACAGAGAGCAUCCAAAGAGGUCUUAGGGUUCUCCAGGAGUGGAAUGUGGAUUGGAAACCAGCAUAUUUUAUGACAGAUUAUGACAUAAAAGAGAUAGCAGCGAUAGAAAACACCUUUCCAGGAACUUUAUUACAAGAUACAAAACUCGCUGGCCUGGUGCUGAUGACAUUUCAGAUGACUGGAGUAUUAAUACGAGACCACAUACAAUACAGUCAGAUAGUUUCAACUGUGGUGUGUAUUGCAUGAUGUUUGCAGAAAGACACCUACUAUCUAUGAACAUGACUGGUAUUGACAACACAGAUCUUACAAAAAUGAGGAAGUCCGUUGCAAGUAGAAUCAUGUUAUUUGAACAUUACCUAACAGACUGUUGCCCAAAGUGCGGCUUUGUAAUAGAAGAUGAU